UUGAAACAAAUUGAAAAACAAAACACGCACUCUUUUUCUAGCAAAACAGAAUUGUAGCCUCCAUAUUUUAAAUGAAAAAUUUUAAAACCCUUCUAUUCAGAUCCUGCCACUACCAUUGAGAAACGAAAAGUUGCUGCUUUUGCCACUGCCAAAGAAGCGAGGUCCACCGCCAUUGAGAAGGGAAGGUUGCUGCUGUCGCCACUAUCGAAGGAGCGAGGUCCACCGCUGCUCUUUGCUUGGUUCAACAAAAUCGCAGAAACAGAUUUAUAGAUCAUAUGGUAGCUCGUGACAUCACAAAGAAUUUGUUAAGUAGGAUGCCUUCUCCAGCGUCAAGAUGGUGUGAGUAUUGGCCAGACAUGAAGGACGAGUUAUUUAAAGGUUUUCUGGAAGUUAAAUUGAAGCGUCGUAUAUCUUUUCUUGAAGUAUAUGAUGAUGUUCAUGAGAAAAAAAGUGGAGAAUAUGUUUUGAAAUAUCCAAGGAAAUCAUUAACUUAUAUGGAGAGACAAUAUCACAAAAAUAUGGAGAAGAUUUAAUAGAUCAACCUGAAGUUAAUUCUGACGUGUGGAUAGAAGUUGCAUGAGCCAACAAGAAAGGACAAGUUCAUGGAUUAGGCCGCAGUCUAAAUAUUGGUAUUCGUGAUCAUAGAGAUGUGCCAUUACCAGAAGAUACAUGUGUUUCUACAAUCAAACCAAUUUCACAAGCAAACACCAUUGAAGCUAUUAAAGAAGCAUUGCUUAGUGCUAUAAAUGCAGUGUUGCCUAGGUAAAUGAAGCUAUACAGAGUAGUUUAUUGUCUCUCCUUUCUAAGAUUCCAAGAUUCUCCCAAGAAAACAAUGCAAAUUUAGGUAGGGUUAAUGAAAAUGACCAUUAGAGUGAUUUUGCUGGCAAUAAUAUUGAUUAGGUGGCUUAUGUUAAUGUAUUUUGUUAGGCUUAGCUUAUUUAGGUAGUUUAUUUGUUUGAUUGAUAAUUGAUUGGACAAUUUGUUUAAUUUUCAGGUUUUAUAGAAGUUAGCUUACUCUUUUUUUUGGUAGUUUA